ACAAAACACAAAAAUGCAGGUGUCAUGUUGACCACGAGGGGGAGACAACAUAUUACUUACUAGACUCAAGAUUCGCUUUAUUGGCAAACGGUUCACACUACCAAAACAUUUAUAUAUUUACAUACCUGUACGCAGAAUAAUGAUUCUAAAUGGCUACAGAAACCCUUAUGCACAUAUAAGGAAACUAACAACUUAAUUUUGAUCUCACAGGUGAGUUCACACUGCAGAAAUUAUCCUGAUAAGAUCACCUUGCACCUGCAUCAUACUGUAUAUUGUGGCAAACUCCCGUUAAAAGAGAUCAAACUUAAAAUAAUUUAAUUCGGAAUAUUGUUUACAUUACUCCUAACCUAUAAAAAAGCUGAUUUGUUGUUUUGCGUUUAUAUUAUAGUCGCCUCAACGGCACCCUUCAGCUCUGUAGGAACCAUGAUUUCACCUCAGGUCGACAGGUGAAGAUCUCUGUAAAAUGACAGACAGAGUUUGAGUACUCCAUUAAAUGUUCUUGAAGAUAUCUCCUUCGUCGUGCGUUUGAAUACUGCAACACCACCAUGACAGAAAGCUAGACCCAACAAACAAAAACAGAAGACUGGACCUAAAAGGGAUGAUCCUGGCUGAGGACCGCCUGUGGGACCUGAGGCAGAAUGGUCGUCAUUUGGAGAGGCACGUAAAUGGGUCUUCAACAGCGCUGACCUGGGGACCAAAGUGACAGACCCAGCAUUUACAUAAUUUACGCUGAAGUUCGCCUCACUGCCUCCAUCCGCAGUGCCUAAGACCAUCCCAGUCCUCAGUCCAGAGAAUAAGAUGGCCACCAUCCCAGAGCCUCUUCCCAAGAUGGCCGCCAUUCCAGAGCCUCGUCCCAAGAUGGCCGCCAUUCCAGAGCAUUGUCCCAAGAUGGCUGCCAUUCCAGAGCAUUGUCCCAAGAUGGCUGCCAUUCCAGAGCAUUGUCCCAAGAUGGCUGCCAUUCCAGAGCAUUGUCCCAAGAUGGCUGCCAUUCCAGAGCAUUGUCCCAAGAUGGCCGCCAUUCCAGAGUUUCAUCCCAAGAUGGCCACCAUUCCAGAGCCUCGUCCCAUGUUCCCAGAGCUUCGUCCUCCCAACCUGCGGAGGACCUAUGGCUAAUUGGCUUUUGGUCAGAGCCAGUACCAGCCCCUGACCAGCGUCCAGUGAGGGCUCCAGCCCCUGACCAGCGUCCAACUUUUUUGUUCUCCUCCCUGCCCUGGCUAUCUUUGUGUCCAUUGAGACUUGGAUGCAUCGCUCCAGCCCCUCUCUGCAUUCUCAACGCUCUCACCGGGGAACUUGGUGAGACUUCAACGCUGCGUCACGGACAGCGCUCUAGGCAGAGUGACUUCUACGCUGCGUCACAAGCGACGCUAGGACCUUGUUUUGGACGUUCUCUCUCUUGUGUUCCUGUUGUUUUUCCCCCUGUGCUCAGUGAGAGCAAAAUAAAACUUUUCUGUUACCUGCAA